rnacentral:rRNA from 1 species
AUUGAACGCUGGCGGCAGGCUUAACCCAUGCAAGUCGAACGAGUGGCGGACGGGUGAGUAAUGCUUGGGAAUCUGGCUUAUGGAGGGGGAUAACUACGGGAAACUGUAGCUAAUACCGCGUACCAUAGGAUGAGCCCAAGUGGGAGUAGGUAGUUGGUGAGGUAAAGGCUCACCAAGCCGACGAUCUCUAGGUGGUCUGAGAGGAUGACAGGCCACACUGUGACUGAGACACGGCCCAGCCUACUACAGGAGGCAGCAGGGGGGAAGAUUGCGCAAUGGGGUCGACCUGACGCAGCCAUGCCGCGUGAAUGAAGAAGGACUUCGGGUGUGAAAGUUCUUUCGGUAGCGAGGAGUUAACUACAGAAGAGGCACCGGCUAACUCCGUGCCAGCAGCGGCGGUAAUAG